rnacentral:lncRNA from 1 species
CUUUUUUUUUUAAUUUUUUUUUCUUUUUUUUUUAUUUAUGAUAGUCACAGAGAGAGAGAGAGAGGCAGAGACAGAAGCAGGCUCCAUGCACCGGGAGCCCGAUGUGGGAUUCGAUCCCGGGUCUACCAGGAUCAUGCCCUGGGCCAAAGGCAGGCGCCAAACCGCUGCGCCACCCAGGGAUCCCCUUUGAAUUCCUUCCUAAUUGAAGUCCCCACAGUUUUCUUUGUCCUGUCAAUUUCUCACAAAUUUAUUGCCUCUUUGUCUAAAAAGUAAAAAAAAAAAACAAAACAAACAAACAAAAAAACCUGCCUGCCUUGGUCAUUUUUAGGUCUCAAUUUCAUUAUGGAGCCUCUGUACUUACAUUAUGAAACAUUGUGUUUUUUUUCUCCUGUUAUUCUGUUUCAUUUAAAUUUAAUUCUUAGUCCAGCUGCAAGACCUUCAGGGUAGAGAAUUUUUCCUUCCUUUCAACAUGAAGAAAGUGGGACUGGGAGAGAGUAAAUAUUUACUUAAGGUCACAUGCAGUCUUGGUGGAAAAAAUUUAAAAAAUAAUCUGAUUUUCAUGAAACUUAACUGAAUCUUUUCUCUCUCUAGUAUACCUGACAGCUUCUCAGAUCUACACUCAAAUACACACUCAACACACACUUGUCAAAAAGACAUAUCUGUAUCUUAGGUUAGGUACUAAUAAGUAUUUAGACUAUAUCUAUAAAAUCUAAACAGAGAUAUGUCACACUUUUCUUUUGAGAGUUUAGUCUUAAAUAUGUUGGAAAAUACAUGUAAGUACUCAUGUAAAAAAAUCAUUUUUUGUAUUUGCUUGGACAAGGAAUUAAAUAUUUAAUACAAAAGGCUAUAAAUUUUUAAUAUUAGAAAAAUUUUCCUUGUUUUACUUCUAAAAUAGCUAAGGGAAGAUAUUAUUUUUAGAUACAUAUAUACAUAUUUAUGUACUCAUGUAUAUUUUAAAUCAUGAAUGAAAAUAAAGUAGAAUAUUGAGAGAAAUUAUGCUCAAAAGGAUUUUGAGUUAGAAGGCUUUUAUAUAAUCUGCUACUUCUUUUGAACCAACACACCUAUGGCUGUCUACUUGGAGUAAUUUUAAAUGGUAGUAACUCAAAACACAACUUGAAGCCUACAAUCAACUGAAGUAGAGCAGUUUUGUUUUCAUAUGGAAACAAAAAAAAAACCCAAAAAUCUAAUAGAGUGCUCUGGAGAAACACCUAAAGAUUAUUUAUUUCCCAACAGAAAAGGGGAAUUGAAUCCAUGCUGAAGUGACAGCUAUUAACAAAAGCUGAUAACUCAAGUGGGUUUAAAGAAAGAAAGGAGAUGAAAAAGGGUGCGAUGGUGGUGGAAGGGAGGGAGGAGGAGAAUAAAGAAAGACCAGGCAGGCAUCAGUUGAACUCUACAAGGAGUAUGGUUGUUAGAAUCUGACAUUCCUGUUGUGAAGGAAAACGUAUGUUUAAGUAAAUUACCAGCUAAGCUUAACCAACUAUAAAUAUAUAUACCUAAUAUAUAUGUGUGUGUAUGUAUGUGCCUACAUGUAUGAUAUAUGCAUAUGUAUACAUGUAUGGUGCAUGUAGGUGUAUACAUGUACAGUAUAAGUGUAUACCUGCAUGAUAUACAUGUAUGUGUGUAUUCGUGUAUGAUAUGUGUGUAUAUGUAUGUGUGUAUCCAUAUAUAUCUGUAUAUCAUUGUUUUAUUUGCUGUAAGUAGGGCAGAUGGUAGGUAGGACAUUCCACGUAAUGUGAAGUAAAAUUGCUUUUCUACUUACAUGUUUUACUUAAUCUUUAUUCUAUGUUCUCAUGCAAGUUUUAAACUGAACAAAAUCUAUUAGAACAAUAGUUGUGAAUCCCUGUACAUAAGUAAAUAAGUAAAAUCAUUUUUUUUUGGUGUGUGUGCAUGAAACUAUUCCAAUAAUCAUAUCUGUGAUCAAAGUUAUUCGGCAAUCACCAGUCUAAAAUGCAAGCAAGGGGGUGGUGAUUGGGUGGCUCAGUCAGUUAAGCAUCUAAUUCUUGGUUUAGGUUCAAGUCAUGAUCUCAUUGGUCAUGGGAUCAAGCCUGGUGUGGGACUCCACAAGCAGUGGGGAGCUGCUUGCAGAUUCUCUCCCUCUGCCCCUCCCCCAGCUCACACAUGUCCAUGUUUUCUCUCUCUCUAAAAUAAAUAAAUCUUCAAAAAAAAGAAUGCAAGCAAGGGUUAGCAAACUAGCUAGUGGGCCAAAUGUUGUCUAAGACCUGUAUUUUUAAGUCAACUUUUAUUGGAUUACAGCCAUAGUUACAUAGUGUCUAUAAAUGCUUUUCAUUGUAACAAAAGGUUCAAGUUGUUGGAACAGAAACCUUAUGGUUUGCAAAGCCUUUUUUUUUCUGACCAUUAACAGAAAAUGUUUACUAGAGAAAAUUUUUGCUAGAGUCUCUUUGCUAGAGAAAAUUGACAAGAAUUCAGGUUAAAUUUGUUUGUGGACAAGAAGAGAAACUUAAUAUCUCUCAUGGAAAUGGUUUAGAGCUUACAAAUAGUUGUUACACUUUGGAAUUUUCUCAGUUGAUAGAAAAAGGUGCCAAUGUAUCAUUAAAAAAAAAACAUUAAUCCUAAAGUACAUUUUAUAUCUGUAUCCUCAAAUUAGGCUUUUUUUCUAUUGCUAAAGAAGGUGAAUGACCUUGAUGAAGUUGCUUACACUCUUAGACUUGGCUUACUUAUACAAAAAUAAUGAAAAUCAAGACUAUAGUAUCUUAUAUGGUUCUGUGUUAUGCCUGCUUGUGUUCCAUAUUGGGAAAUUAGUGCUCAGUAAAGGAUAAUUGCUAUUUUGAUAGGAUAUAUCUUGCAUAGGUUUGACUCUAUAGAAUAACAGCAAUACAUAAGUAUUUACUGAAAAUACAUGUAUGUGUAUAUACAUAAGCAUGUAUAUGUGUAUGCUUAUACAAACUAUAUAUCUUAAAAACCCAAUAAAAUAUAUAAAAAUAUAAGGAAGAUAUAAACAAGUACUGAUUUAGUAACAUUAAACGAGAGCAGAAAUAUAAAUAAGGAUAUAGGCAAAUUGUGUCUAAUGUGUAAGGGGUGCUAACUCAUUGACAGAAUUUAGCAAGGAUUUUAGCCAGUUAUCUCAUUCUUUGAUCAUGGCAGAGGCUCAAGAC